rnacentral:rRNA from 1 species
CCCUUAGAUGUUCUGGGCCGCACGCGUGCUACACUGAGUGGAUCAGCGGGUCAGGUUGCGCGAAAGCGUUUCCUAAUCUUGAAAUCCGCUCGUGAUGGGGAUUGACGGUUGCAAUUUUCUGUCAUGAACGAGGAAUACCUUGUAAGCGCGGGUCAUCAUCCCGCGCUGAAUACGUCCCUGCCCUUUGUACACACCGCCCGUCGCUCCUACCGAUUGAGUGGUCCGGUGAGGCUUUGGGAUCUGAGCGGAAAGAGCGUUUCGCUCGUUCUGCCCGGAAAACUCAGUCGAGCCUUAUCAUUUAGAGGAAGGAGAAGUCGUAACA